CAGGAAUGAGUGAUUUUUCUUAGAAGCAGAGGUGGAGCCACCAAGGAAGCACAGGAUGAGCAUUCCACAGCUCGCACUCACUGGUCCCCAGUAGGAAGAACCACUGCUGCAUCCACUGAGGCUCCCAUUGUGAUGGGUUAUGUCGCCCCACGAUGUCAUCAUUGCUGAGCCCCCAGUGCCUCUGUGUUGUGGAGCAGUUAGAGACACAUGGCAGUGUCCUUGAGUGGCUCUGCGUGUGGGACCAUUUUCUAGGUGAUCACUCAGCAUAGCUUACUGAUCAGACUCAAGUGAAUGGAACUUGCCCUCUUCCCUUCCUCCUGGCUUUGGAACAGUUGCUACCAGCAAUUCCAUUCUGCAUCUUCUCUGGACACCCCCAGGACCAUCCAGGACAACCCUGCCUGACACCAGGCCUAGUGUGGCUCCAUGAUAACCAAGACGCAGGUCCAGAAACAAUCCCCCUGCAUGGUGCCUGCAUCUGACUCCCCUUGGUGGGUAGUGACGAUCACAACAUGGAAGAAGCCAGGACAGCUUGCAGCCAGCUGCUGUGCAGCCCCAGAUGUCUCCUGGGCCUUGGG
rnacentral:lncRNA from 1 species